CCGACGGCGCCUCGCUGCCCUCCGCCUUCUCUUCCCGGUUCUUCCCGGAGUCGGGAAAAGCUGGGUUGAGAGGGCGAAAAAAGGAUAAAGGGAUGGAAAUAUUAUAUCCCUAGGAAAGAGAAUGUGUACAUUUUAAAAGUAAGUUUUGAAGUCAUACAUAUGCAGUUAUUAAAAAAAAAAAAGAGGAAAGAAAAAAUGAUGUGGAGAGGCAGGCAUGUUGGUGCAUGCCUGUAAACCCAGCACUUGGGAGGCAAAAGCAGGCCAGUGUCUGUGAGUUCAGACCAGCUAGGCCUACAAAAUGAGAUGCUGUUUCCUUUACUCCCCACCCCCCACCCCAGCUGAGGACUGAACCUAGGGCCUUAAGCGCUCUACCACUGAGCUAAAUCCCCAAUCCCAAGAUGCUAUUUGAUAGGAUGAUGAUUAUGAAUGAGGAUGAUGGUGACGGUGACAAUGUUGCAUCAGAGCCCAAGUUCUGUUUCCUUUGUUCCCCCAAUAGUAAGAUCUAGCACUUAUAUCAAAACCAGAAUAUUGACAUUUUUACAGUCAUGGUACAAGACGUUUUCAACAGGACAGGAGUCCCUGUAGCUGCCCUUUUAGAUACAACCUCCCCCCUACUGCUGAACCUUCUCUUCCCCCAUUCCUCCCACCACUAAUCUGGUCUCCAUUUUUUUUUUUUCUUUUGGUUUUUCCAGGCUAUCCUGGAACUCACUCUGUAGACCAAGCUGGCCUCUAAAUCGGAGAUCCACCUGCCCUGUCUCCCAAGUGCUGGGAUUAAAGACAAGCACCACCACUGCCCAGUCUCAUUUUGUUAUUUCAUGUGACUUGCUUUGUUGUCCUUGAGACAGGGUCUUACCAUGUACCCCUGGCUGAACUGAAAUUCACAAUAGAGACAAGGCUUGACGUCCAAUUCACAGAGAUCCAUCUGCCUCUGCCUCCCCAGCGCUAGAAUUAAAGGAAUGUGCCAUCAUGCUCAGCUUUUGUGGCUACUUUUUUUAUCGCCAUAAUUCUGUUUCUACUAUCCAAGUGGUAUGUAUCAUUGGUUUGUUUUGUUUCCGCUGAGUAUCUAUGGUUUAUUUAGCCCAUCCUUUGAAAGACAUCUGGGUUGUUUAGUCUGUGGACACUAUGAAUAAAGUUGCUGUGAACAAACUUGCAGCUUUUUGUAUAAAUACAAAUUUUCAUUUCUCUGAAAGGAGUGCACCUGGUGAUUUGUAUGAUUGAUGAUUAAUUUUGGAAAAACCAACAAACUGACUUCCAUAGUGGCUAGACUAUUUUUGAUGAGAGUAUUUUGUGGUUCAUCAUCAAUACUACUAAAUUGCUUUCAAAAAUUAUUUGCACUAGAGGGCUGGAGAGAUGCCUCCAUAAUUAAGAGCCUUUGUUCUUGUUCCCAGCUCCCACAGAGUGGUUCACAGCUGUCUAUAACUCCAGUUUCAGGUGAUCUGGUGCUCUCUUGGCUGCUGGGGGUACCAGGCAAACUCACAGUACACAUGCAUACAUGUGAGCAAAAACACUCAUACACAUAGAAUAAGAACUUUUUUAAAAAGUACUGUGCUACUAUUUGUAAUAGCCAGAACCUGGAAACAACCUCGAUGCCCAUCAUCUGAAGAAUGGAUUAAGAAAAUGUGGUUCAUAUACACAAUGGAGUACUACUCAGCAGAGAAAAACAAUGACAGCAUGAAAUUUGCAGGCAAAUGGAUGGAACUAGGAAAAAAUCAUCCUGAGUGAGGUAACCCAAACCCAGAAGGACAAACAUGGUAUGUACUCACUCAUAAGUGGAUUCUAGAUAUAAAGCAAAGAACAAUCAGACUGCAACCCACAGAACCAGGGAGGCUACAUAGCAGGGGGGACCCUAGGAUGACUGUGGCUUAUAAUAAGUUUUGGUUUUACUCAAUCACUGGGCAAGCCUCAGUGAAACAUUUCACAAUUAGGAUAAGAAUUUAUACUGUAUCAAGCUGAUAGUAGAAAAAUAAAUUUUUAAAAAGUGAAAAAAAAA